rnacentral:rRNA from 1 species
GAGUUUGAUCCUGGCUCAGGACGAACGCUGGCGGCGCGCCUAACACAUGCAAGUCGAACGAGAGAGAAGGAGCUUGCUUCUUCGAUCGAGUGGCGAACGGGUGAGUAACGCGUGAGGAACCUGCCUCAAAGAGGGGGACAACAGUUGGAAACGACUGCUAAUACCGCAUAAGCCCACGGGUCGGCAUCGACCAGAGGGAAAAGGAGUGAUCCGCUUUGAGAUGGCCUCGCGUCCGAUUAGCUAGUUGGUGAGGUAACGGCCCACCAAGGCGACGAUCGGUAGCCGGACUGAGAGGUUGAACGGCCACAUUGGGACUGAGACACGGCCCAGACUCCUACGGGAGGCAGCAGUGGGGAAUAUUGCACAAUGGGGGAAACCCUGAUGCAGCGACGCCGCGUGGAGGAAGAAGGUCUUCGGAUUGUAAACUCCUGUUGUUGAGGAAGAUAAUGACGGUACUCAACAAGGAAGUGACGGCUAACUACGUGCCAGCAGCCGCGGUAAAACGUAGGUCACAAGCGUUGUCCGGAAUUACUGGGUGUAAAGGGAGCGCAGGCGGGAAGACAAGUUGGAAGUGAAAUCCAUGGGCUCAACCCAUGAACUGCUUUCAAAACUGUUUUUCUUGAGUAGUGCAGAGGUAGGCGGAAUUCCUGGUGUAGCGGUGGAAUGCGUAGAUAUCGGGAGGAACACCAGUGGCGAAGGCGGCCUACUGGGCACCAACUGACGCUGAGGCUCGAAAGUGUGGGUAGCAAACAGGAUUAGAUACCCUGGUAGUCCACACCGUAAACGAUGAUUACUAGGUGUUGGAGGAUUGACCCCUCAGUGCCGCAGUUAACACAAUAAGUAAUCCACCUGGGGAGUACGACCGCAAGGUUGAAACUCAAAGGAAUUGACGGGGGCCCGCACAAGCAGUGGAGUAUGUGGUUUAAUUCGACGCAACGCGAAGAACCUUACCAAGUCUUGACAUCCUGCGACGAUGCUAGAAAUAGUAUUUUCCUUCGGGACGCAGAGACAGGUGGUGCAUGGUUGUCGUCAGCUCGUGUCGUGAGAUGUUGGGUUAAGUCCCGCAACGAGCGCAACCCUUAUGGUCAGUUACUACGCAAGAGGACUCUGGCCAGACUGCCGUUGACAAAACGGAGGAAGGUGGGGAUGACGUCAAAUCAUCAUGCCCUUUAUGACUUGGGCUACACACGUACUACAAUGGCGUUAAACAAAGAGAAGCAAGACCGCGAGGUGGAGCAAAACUCAGAAACAACGUCCCAGUUCGGACUGCAGGCUGCAACUCGCCUGCACGAAGUCGGAACUGCUAGUAAUCGUGGAUCAGCAUGCCACGGUGAAUACGUUCCCGGGCCUUGUACACAC